rnacentral:lncRNA from 1 species
GCGUCAUAAGAACAUAAUGUUUCAAUAGGACAAUCACAAGCUAAAAAGAAAAAACCACCUUGUACGGUGAAGAUGGUACGUAAAUUACUAGCAACUCUUCUUCAUGCUAUUAGAAUAUACAACUUUUAAAAUUUUAAUAUUUUUCUUUGGAUUUAAUUAUAGACUAACCACGUCCAUUUUUUAUUGUUUCUUUACAUUAAUUAGAGUAAGCAGGGCGAAACUUUCACGGGAUUGGUUGGCAAGGAUACGACAUUGAUAACAAAAAGAAUUGUAUGUUUCAAAUAAUAUAGAUGAUCAUUAUUGUUGAGGAUAAAUAAUUUUGACGUACAUAAUGAUUGUGCAUGUAUAUAGAUGCGAGCUGAGUUUUAAAUAAUUUCACCGAUAAUUCAUGUGUGUCAUACAAAAUUCGGAGAAACUCUCAACAAUCAGACCUGUUGUUGAGCAUCUGUCACCAUACGGGGGAGCAUGCUGAUGUAUAUGAAGAAAAAAAAGAAUGUAACAACAUAGCUAGAGCAGCAAACACUAAUCUUCCCUACAUUCCCCAUCAAAUUCCUAAUUUUUCUUUAUCUGCUCCAUAUUUUUUUCACUAUGUCAUGUAUGGUAUGAAAUAAAAUAAAUAAUUUUAAGUGGUG